rnacentral:pre_miRNA from 1 species
GAGACACCCCUCCAGGGCAUGACUUGCUUCAGUGGGGCUUUGGUGCUCACUGAGUCUGCCCCCUGAGUGUGUCCUU